AUCUCUCCAUCUUUCUCCCACAGUUACAGGCUCUGGCAGGUUAUAAAGUGAGAGGAGGGCCCUGGUGCAUAAGCAGUCUCUUUUUAUAUCUCUCCAUCUUUCUCCCACAGUUACAGGCUCUGGCAGGUUAUAAAGUGAGAGGAGGGCCCCGGUGCAUAAGCAGUCUCUUUUUAUAUCUCUCCAUCUUUCUCCCACAGUUACAGGCUCUGGCAGGUUAUAAAGUGAGAGGAGGGCCCUGGUGCAUAAGCAGUCUCUUUUUAUAUCUCUCCAUCUUUCUCCCACAGUUACAGGCUCUGGCAGGUUAUAAAGUGAGAGCCCCAAUACCCAGAUAGCUACUCUCUCUUUCUUGGUCACGUUGCUCUCUCCCACAAGGCACCAUGCUAUAAAGACUGUCAAAGAGAGGAAUGUACAUCACAGGAGGUUGGUGGCACCUUAAUUGGGGAGGAUGGGCUCGUGGUAAUGGCUGUGUUUCCAGGUGUUUGAUGCCGUUCCAUUUGCUCCAUCCCGGCCAUUACCCUGAGCUGUCCUCCCCUCACCAGCCUCCUGUGGUGUACAGAUCCUGCUUCAUGACACUACCUGUAUCUGUAACAUGUCUUUAGAGGGUGUCGUAUUGCCAUGUCUCUAGCUUACAAUGGGCCUGGCUAACCAGAGACCUCGUUUCUCUGGCUAUGAAGAUGGCACAAUAAAUAUGAAAAUGAUUCACCGUUUGCUUCUGAGUCACUUGUUUUUUUCUUUCUUUGUUUAUUAGUCACAUGAUUCACAGGGUACAGUGAAAUUCUUAAGCUCCAACAGUGCAGGUCAAGAGGAGUAGCCUAUAUUGAAUGCCUUUUCCCUACAUGGU